ACGGAGGGUGCAAGCGUUAUCCGGAUUCACUGGGUUUAAAGGGUGCGUAGGUGGGCAGGUAAGUCAGCGGUGAAAUCCCCGAGCUUAACUUGGGAACUGCCAUUGAUACUAUCUGUCUUGAAUACCUUGGAGGUAAGCGGAAUAUGUCAUGUAGCGGUGAAAUGCUUAGAUAUGACAUAGAACACCAAUUGCGAAGGCAGCUUACUACACGGUCAUUGACACUGAGGCACGAAAGCGUGGGGAUCAAACAGGAUUAGAUACCCUGGUAGUCCACGCCCUAAACGAUGGAUACUCGACAUCAGCGAUACACUGUUGGUGUCUGAGCGAAAGCAUUAAGUAUCCCACCUGGGAAGUACGACCGCAAGGUUG
rnacentral:rRNA from 1 species